AACGACUCUCGGCAACGGAUAUCUCGGCUCUCGCAUCGAUGAAGAACGUAGCGAAAUGCGAUACUUGGUGUGAAUUGCAGAAUCCCGUGAACCAUCGAGUCUUUGAACGCAAGUUGCGCCCGAAGCCAUUAGGCCAGGGCACGUCUGGCUGGGUGUCACACAACG
rnacentral:rRNA from 11 species